rnacentral:tRNA from 1 species
GGAGGCGUGUCUGAGUGGUUGAAGGAGCCUGUCUUGAAAACAGGUGUACGGGGAACCGUACCAGAGGUUCGAAUCCUCUCGCCUCCG